CAGUCGCCGCGGGAAUACGGAGGGGGCUAGCGUUGUUCGGAAUUACUGGGCGUAAAGCGCACGUAGGCGGCUUGGUAAGUUAGAGGUGAAAGCCUGGAGCUCAACUCCAGAAUUGCCUUUAAGACUGCCGAGCUAGCAGGUGAGAGAGGUAAGUGGAAUUCCGAGUGUAGAGGUGAAAUUCGUAGAUAUUCGGAAGAACACCAGUGGCGAAGGCGGCUUACUGGCUCAUACUGGACGCUGAGGUGCGAGAGCGUGGGGAGCAAGCAGGAUUAGAGACCCCUGUAGUCCCUGUCUCUUAUAC
rnacentral:rRNA from 1 species